rnacentral:lncRNA from 1 species
CUCUUAAAAUAUGUGGUAUUUGUGGUAUAAGGCAUAGUGACAUUGCCUUCUCUCUCAUCCUACUCUAAUAAGGCUUUAAUAUCUGGAGCUCAUAGGUGGGAGAUAAAAUAUACAUACUUACAAGACAUUUAUUGUAUAGUCAAACCAUGGAUCCAAAGUAACAAGCCAAUAAGUCAAAUCAAGAUGUGCAUGUGUGGCGAAUGAAUGGUGUAUUGUGAUCAUGUUGAUAACAAUGGUGAAAGUCUAAAUCUUUUGCUCUUUGAGGGGAUACAUACCUUUCAUGCUUUUUGAAACUUUUUGAGGAGAAUGAGAUGCUCUUCUUCUUUUUUUCUUUUCUCUCAGGUCGGUAUCUUGUACCCCUAAUUCUACUGUCGGACACUUGUCCAUUUUUACCUCUCGUCCCACUUUUUCUUUUCUUUCGAGGUUCCGGGCACUUGCCCCUUUUUAUUUCCUCGUAUCUCUUUUUUUAGAGCACUCAUCUCAUGAGAUAAUGUAGCAAGUGGUAGUAACAAGAUAACUUAAGCAUUUAUUUCACAGGGGAAAAAUAGAAAUAUUUUUGGCUAUUCUCUCCCGAAUUAGGAGUAGAAUAUUUUUGGGUGGUUCUGGAGAUGGAAAUGAGUGGAUAUAUGUGGAUGGUACUUCCGGAGUAGAAGUAGCAUAUAUGAGUGAACGUGCAAGUGAAUCUUGAUUUUAACCACAUGACAAGCUCCUAAGGGUCUACACAGCUUGACCACACUCAAUGCUCAUAAGCAGUAAAAAGUAAAUGUGUGGCUACAAGUCUAGCAAACAUGUAUAUAUGGCUGUGGUAGGAAUUUAAACUCUCAUCAUACAGGAACUCAUCAUACAAUAUUUUAAAGAUUUUUCGAAGAUAAAAUUCUCCAGAAUUCUAGCAUCUCUAGGAACAGCUAAACAGCAGCUCAACCUUCCCAUAUCAUAUCCGUUAACAACUUAGACUUCAGAUCA